CCUGUCCUCUGAAUUUAUUGAAAGAUGUAACUCCACUUUGACAAGGUGGCAUCUAUAUUAACUCAGUUAGUCUCUUGAUUGUUUGUUAGGGAUACCUCUCAAAUUAUCAGUCCAAAGUGGCAGUUUUGAAACACAAACCUGAGCAGAGUUAGUAUGCUGAACAAUAUGAAUAGUAAAGCAACAGACGUAUCGUCUCAAUAAGUUCUGUAUCUGAAACUGGUACAGGCGGUGUAGUAAAUGGAUGUGACAACUCCAGAACCAAAGCACUAUGUCAACUAAUGAGAUAGCCGUGAUGUUCAGGUGACUGAACUAUAAGAUAUUUCUGUUCCAAUCCUUAAGGCUAGUUUAAAGUUAUCUCAGUAAAAGAUGAUAUUAAAUAUGGUGUGUUGGGGAUUGGGUGGGUGUGUUGUCCAUUCCCUUACCUUGUUAAGUUUUACUUGACUUGCUUUAGUAGAAAGGCAAAAACAACCAGUCGGUACAACUGGAGCACUGUUUUGUCAGUAAGUGGCUGAAUACUUGCAAUAUUAAGUUUGGUAGAAGUAAUGUUCCAAUAAUUAAUCACUGUUAG
rnacentral:ncRNA from 1 species